GCGCCCGUAGCUCAGUUGGAUAGAGCAACGGAUUUCUAAUCCGUAGGUCGCAGGUUCGAAUCCUGCCGGGCGUG
rnacentral:tRNA from 4 species